rnacentral:rRNA from 1 species
GACGAACGCUGGCGGCGUGCUUAACACAUGCCAGUCGAACGGAAAGGCCCUGCUUUUGUGGGGUGCUCGAGUGGCGAACGGGUGAGUAACACGUGAGUAACCUGCCCUUGACUUUGGGAUAACUUCAGGAAACUGGGGCUAAUACCGGAUAGGAGCUCCUGCUGCAUGGUGGGUGUUGGAAAGUUUCGGCGGUUGGGGAUGGACUCGCGGCUUAUCAGCUUGUUGGUGGGGUAGUGGCUUACCAAGGCUUUGACGGGUAGCCGGCCUGAGAGGGUGACCGGCCACAUUGGGACUCAGAUACGGCCCAGACUCCUACGGGAGGCAGCAGUGGGGAAUAUUGCACAAUGGGCGGAAGCCUGAUGCAGCAACGCCGCGUGCGGGAUGACGGCCUUCGGGUUGUAAACCGCUUUCGCCUGUGACGAAGCGUGAGUGACGGUAAUGGGUAAAGAAGCACCGGCUAACUACGUG